rnacentral:rRNA from 1 species
GGCUCAGAUUGAACGCUGGCGGCAGGCCUAACACAUGCAAGUCGAGCGGAUGACAGGAGCUUGCUCCUGAAUUCAGCGGCGGACGGGUGAGUAAUGCCUAGGAAUCUGCCUGGUAGUGGGGGACAACGUUUCGAAAGGAACGCUAAUACCGCAUACGUCCUACGGGAGAAAGCAGGGGACCUUCGGGCCUUGCGCUAUCAGAUGAGCCUAGGUCGGAUUAGCUAGUUGGUGAGGUAAUGGCUCACCAAGGCGACGAUCCGUAACUGGUCUGAGAGGAUGAUCAGUCACACUGGAACUGAGACACGGUCCAGACUCCUACGGGAGGCAGCAGUGGGGAAUAUUGGACAAUGGGCGAAAGCCUGAUCCAGCCAUGCCGCGUGUGUGAAGAAGGUCUUCGGAUUGUAAAGCACUUUAAGUUGGGAGGAAGGGCAGUAAGCUAAUACCUUGCUGUUUUGACGUUACCGACAGAAUAAGCACCGGCUAACUCUGUGCCAGCAGCCGCGGUAAUACAGAGGGUGCAAGCGUUAAUCGGAAUUACUGGGCGUAAAGCGUGCGCAGGCGGUUAUGCAAGACAGAUGUGAAAUCCCCGGGCUCAACCUGGGAACUGCAUUUGUGACUGCAUAGCUGGAG